CCUACGGGAGGCUGCAGUCGAGAAUCAUUCACAAUGGGGGAAACCCUGAUGGUGCGACGCCGCGUGGGGGAAUGAAGGUCUUCGGAUUGUAAACCCCUGUCAUGUGGGAGCAAAUUAAAAAGAUAGUACCACAAGAGGAAGAGACGGCUAACUCUGUGCCAGCAGCCGCGGUAAUACAGAGGUCUCAAGCGUUGUUCGGAAUCACUGGGCGUAAAGCGUGCGUAGGCUGUUUCGUAAGUCGUGUGUGAAAGGCGCGGGCUCAACCCGCGGAUGGCACAUGAUACUGCGAGACUAGAGUAAGGGAGGGGGAACCGGAAUUCUCGGUGUAGCAGUGAAAUGCGUAGAUAUCGAGAGGAACACUCGUGGCGAAGGCGGGUUCCUGGACAUUAACUGACGCUGAUGCACGAAGGCCAGGGGAGCGAAAGGGAUUAGAUACCCUUGUAGUC
rnacentral:rRNA from 1 species